AAGGAAUCAAGAAUGUUCCGACUUAGGAAGUUAUAUCUGACUCCGGCUGCAGGUAGAAUGAGAUAUAACUGUUCUAUCAAUAGGGAUCAGUUCACAAUAUAGACACAUAGGGCAUUCAAUAGUCCCGUUUAUUUAAUAUAAAGUAAAGAGAAACCUUUAUACAUUACCAAGAGUCUAGGAUGAAUUAAUUCAAGUUGGGAUUCUUCUCUCUGGGUGCUCUGGUCUGUAACUCAGUCUAUUGCCCUCAGUCAGUCAAUCUCCUCCUUUCUUAGCCCUCUGUUUUCUCCUUUUGAUCUUUUUAAGAUGAUCUGAAGAUAUCGAUCCUCUCUCUUAUUUUUCUGUCUAUUUAACCAUUAUUUCCCCCUUAUCAGUUCCUGCCCCUUGUUUGUAAAUGGGCGGUACCUGGGACUUAAAUCUGGCUUUUGAUUGGUUAUGGGC